rnacentral:lncRNA from 1 species
UACCAACCUUUGUGGGGUCCCCACUGCCAGCUGGCCAACAGGCAAGCAAUCUCCAAAAUUCCUCAUUGGAGCCUGUUUCCUAGGACCAUUGGUUGGGUCCCCUGAAGACAGCUCUGAAAUGGAGAUUUGUGGGCAGUUGUCAGUAGGCGAGAGCUCCAGGCCUCAGCACUGUGAUGGAGGAGGGAAGCAGUGCUGGUGGAGGGAGCUCGAGCUGCCAUGUAGUUGCAACAGAAGCUUUGGCCAAUCCCACAAGGGGCUUCCGAGCUGGGACUGCCCUUGAGAGUUGCCCCACUUCAGGCAGGGGGAUGCUGGCCCUGUAACCCUGCAUCCGUCUGCCACUGGGUGCUGGCUGCCCUAGGAGGGUGAGCGUGCCCUUGGAUAGGGUGGCUCCCUUCAGCCAAGGGCAGUCCCCUGGAGGGGACACAGCUACGACAGCCACCACUUCCAGCAGCUGGGGAAGGAACAUCUCAGUCUGCAGUGGGAUCUAGGGGGAGCAGCGGAGCAUCCAUCCCGGCAACCCCAGGCUUUUCAAAACACAGUGAGGUUUGCGGAAAUAAUUGUUGUGGCAUGUGGGACACCGCCUCAGCGUGGCUUGACAAGCAGUGCCAUGUCCGUGCCCAGGAUUACGAACCAACGAAACACUGGGCCCCCUGCAGCGGAGCGCGCGAACUUAACCACUCGGCCACGGGGCCAGCUCCAGUCCUUAAAAGGAAGAAAUCGGUUUCAGGAUGCAACUCACAGGUCCAUUCCAGAAGGUCAGGAGGUGCAGACGAGUUGAGCUGUUGACUCAGCUGAGACAUGCUCCUAACAUCGUCCUGCUUAAGUGCACGCAUCUUUUCAAGUGCAGCUAACUUACAGCCCAAGACAGAGGUCUGAUUUUUACAGAAGCUCCAAGAACUUCAUGGAGUUUUGUCCUCAAAGCAGACAGGGACGUGGGGCAGCUGCAGGAGAACGGGAGGAGGAGAGGCCGACGGCGCCGGGCGCAUGCGGAACGAGCGGGUGCCCACCCCAGGGCCCCGCCUUGUGUCUGUGACUCUGCUCUCUAAAGGCUGGCUGUGGAGUGAGACCACGUCAUUCAUUAUCAGCUGGCUUAUCUCCCUCUUGGUUUAUUUGUAGAAAGUUUCCGAAGCGUAUCUGUGAACCCUUAUUCCAUGGGAUGUCAACAAGUGUUACACACACACACACACACACACACACACAAACAGAAAAAACAACUAUCCACAGUCAAAUAAGCUUCUUUACUGCAGAAUUCUCAGGAAUUCUAGGAUCCCAGGCACACUGCGAAUCAGCACGAGAGGAACCCUGAGUGGACACGCUCAUGUUUACUGGUGAUGACGCUUUUUUCUGCAGAACAUCUGACAGGAACAGCACUGCCUGGAAGGAAGCUCAGGAAACACAGGCUUAGCUUCCUCUCUAAAUCAGUUUAUUCUCUUGUGGAUACCAGGGAUGGCAAGGAAGAUGCUUCAUCACGUAGAACAGAGAAGAAAGUGGUUCUGGGAUUAAACUGUUGUUAUAGGGAACUCACAGAACGGCCAAUUCACGCGGACAAAAUCUCUGAGAACUGACAGUUACCGUUGUGUAACUUCAUAAUGGGAUGGCGAGGAUGGGCCCUGGGCUCGUUUUUAUAUACACUGUGAAAGUUGGCAAUAGCAAUCUAUCCCUCGGUAUUUUAGAUCAAUUAUGUAAAGUUAGAAUCAUUUCGAUUUCAUUUCUCUCAAUCCACCAGACCUGAUUUUUAAAAAUUCAAGAUUCACUCAUUUGAUUUAAGUAUCACUAGUGUGAAGUAUUUCCAUCCUCCUUCUACUGGAAGCGAAUUUCCCGGUUAGGACACGGCUUCACUAGAGACGAGUAACAGCGGCUGUAACUGGAUGCUGUGUGAUUUCAUCACGCUGUGAAAACACUUCGACCAGUCCAAAUUGGUCUAUGAAGGUUUCUUUCUGUUUGUUCCAGUUCCAGCUCUCCUAAUCACUCCAGCUCCUGUGUUUGCUGGGAUUUUGUGAUAUCUCUGGAUUCUGACACAUGCUAUGAUUCAGUGCCAAAUUCCAUUUCCUAAGUUAUUG